UCGAGAAUCAUUCACAAUGGGCGAAAGCCUGAUGGUGUGACGCCGCGUGGGGGAUGAAGGUCUUCGGAUUGUAAACUCCUGUCAUCCGUGAGCAAAGCCGUGCGGGUAAUAUCCGCGCGGUCUGAUAUUAGCGGAAGAGGAAGGGACGGCUAACUCUGUGCCAGCAGCCGCGGUAAUACAGAGGUCCCAAGCGUUGUUCGGAAUCACUGGGCGUAAAGGGUGCGCAGGCGGCCCGCCAAGUCAGAUGUGAAAGACCGGGGCUCAACCCCGGAACGGCAUCCGAUACUGGCGGGCUCGAGGGUUUGAGGGGAGUCGGGAAUUCACGGUGUAGCAGUGAAAUGCGUAGAUAUCGUGAGGAAGACCGGUGGCGAAGGCGCGACUCUGGAAAACUCCUGACGCUGAGGCACGAAGGCUAGGGGAGCGAACGGGAUUAGAUACCCCGGUAGUCC
rnacentral:rRNA from 1 species